UGCUCACAGUAGUGGAUAUAAUGGUCAUCUGAAUUAAAUUAGCCAUUCCCAUCCAUUUCAGUUCACUGAUUCCUAAGAUGUCAGUGUUGCCGUCUCCUGAUAGACCACGUCCAGUUUACCUUGAUUCAUGAACCUAACAUUCCAGGUUCCUUUGCAACGUUGUUCUUUACAGCAUCAGACGUUACCUUCACCACCAGACACAGAUGAGCAUGGUUUCCAUUUUUGUCACAGUCACUUCAUUCUUUCUGGAGCUCGUAGUAAUUGACCUCCACUUUUCUGCAGUAGCAUAUUGAACAUCACCUGACCUGUGGGGCUCAUUUGGUGUCAUAUCUUUUUGCCUUUUCAUAGCAUUCACAGGCAAGAAUGCUGGAGUGGUUUGCCAUUUCCCUCUCCAGUGGACCGUGUUUUGUCAGAACUCUUCCCUAUGACCGUCUUGGGUGGCCCUGCAUGGCAUGGCUCAUAGUUUCAUUGAGUUACGCAAGCCCCUUCACCACAACAAGGAUCCAUGAAGGGAAUGAAAACUCUGCAGCUCAUCAAAACAGGGUUGUGGUGAUGGCCACAGAACACUGACUUCAGACAGAUGUCCUACCCACAUUCUCUUCCAUACAGUGGUCAUGUAUGGACGUGAGAGUUGGACCAUAAAGAAAGCUGAGUGCCGAAGAAUUGAUGCUUCUGAACUGUGGUGUUGGAGAAGACCCUUGAGAGUCCCUUGGACUGCAAGGAGAUCCAACCAGUCCAUCCUAAAGGAAAUCAGUCCUGAAUAUUCACUGGGAGGACUGAUGCUGAAGCUGAAACUCCAAUACUUUGGCCAUCUGAUGCGAAGAACUGACUCAUUGCAAAAGACCCUGAUGAUGGGAAAGAUUGAAGGCAGGAGGAGAAGGGGAUGACACAGGAUGAGAUGGUUGGAUGGUAUCACCGACUCAAUGGACAUUAGUUUGAGUAAACUCUGGGAGUUGGGGAUGGACAGGGAGGCCUGGCGUGCUGCAGUCCAUGGGGUUGCAGAGUCGGACAUGAUUGAGCAACUGAACUGAACUGAACUGAUGGUAUUUAAUAUACUAUCCUGUGCUUUGCAGAGAUACAUACAUAGGGAACUUGGCCAGUGCCUUUAAGAAGUUCGUAAUAUAUUCAUUUACAGCCUUGGAGUGAAAAGACAUUAGUAGAAAAAGGAAAUGGAGAGAGGUGAGGGACCACAUUUAUAAUCAAAGAAGGAUAAACAUCACCCUGUUCCCACCCACUGUUUGUUCCAGGCAGGGACAUUGUGAGGGGGGUCACUGAGACCCGGGCCUGGGUGCUGGCUGCAGAGUCCUCUCCAGGAACACCCUCCACACUCAGCAAAGACUAGGGCCCACCCUGCAGGCCUGACAAGGUCCCAGAACGACCCUGUGAUACUUCCCUCUGCUGCUGGACUAGAGAAAGUCGCUCACUUGGGGAGGAAGAAGUGGCUCUCUGAGGAUCUCUGGGGUCCCACUCCCUCCUUUCUAAGGUGGGGAGCUGCCUCUGGCCCCAGCAGAGGGAAGCCCGGCUGCCACUGCUCCAGGGACAUCAUGGGGUCCCACAGUGAGGGGGAGGAGAGCGAGGCCCCCAGGACACAGAGCCUUGGGGAGGGGAACCUGGGAGAAACACACUCCUGGGGGCCUCCAAAGCUCAGACAGGUCUCAUCCAAAGAGAGUGAAUGAAUGAAGGGGUUGGAUUGGCAGUGAGAUGAAAUGACGCUCCCGUGCUGGGCGUAGGCUCUGGCGUCCAGCUCUCCACCCUCUCCUCAUCCCUCAGGGUGGCUUCCAACAGAGCAGCAGGAAGUGCCUGGCCCGGGAGAGGGGAGAUUCGCUAGGAGCCUCGUGCUCCAUUGUUCUUUUUCAAACAUUGCCAUUUCCAGCCAAGGCAGCUGGGCUGCCUGUGGUGGGAGUAAUUGAUCAUGACGUGGUCAGGGGGCAAAGGGCGCCGGUGCUCAUUUCUGAGAAGUGAGCAAGUAUAGAC